rnacentral:rRNA from 1 species
UACAGAGGUCCCAAGCGUUUAGGCGGAAUCACUGGGCUUAAAGCGUGUGUAGGCGGAUGCCUAAGUACCUUGUGAAAUCCCACGGCUUAACCGUGGAACUGCUGGGUAUACUGGGUGUCUUGAGCCAUCUAGGGGCCUGCGGAACAAACGGUGGAGCGGUGAAAUGCGUAGAUAUCAGGAGGAACACCGGUGGCGAAGGCGGGUCUCUGGGCCGAUACUGACGCUGAGAGACGAAAGCUAGGGGGAGCAAAUGGG